ACCUCGCCAUCCUAUGGCCACCUCGCCAUUC
rnacentral:sRNA from 1 species